rnacentral:lncRNA from 1 species
AGCGCUGAACGGCGAGAGGAGUCGCUUGGCGCAGAGCUUCGAGUAUAACUAUGGCGAUUUCAUUCCCAUCUUGAGACCCUUCUUGAAGGGUUACUUGAAGAUUUGCAAGGAGGUGAAAGAAACGAGGUUGAAGCUUUUCAAGGAUUACUUCGUUGACGAGAGGAAGUAAGUGUUCUGUUUCCUUUUCUUCCUUCGUUAUUUCACCCUUUCUGCUAAAUUCAAACUCGGUGCUGCAUCAUAAAUAUGAUUUCAUUUUGCUCUUUUAAAUCACAGUAGUAACAAUCUCUCUACCCCUCAAAUUUGAGAGCUACACUUUCAUAUCAUUUCUAAAGAUCAUAAAAUUAAACACUUUCUAAGGUUAAUUUUCUGAUUUUCACUUAAAUUUUGUUAUCAUAGAUUAUCUUUCUGAAACAGCGAAUUGAAGAAUUUUGUACUGUAAUUCUUGGUAAACGGUUCUAACAGAGGGAAAUAUAGAAAGUGUUCAAAAGCUUUGGGGAAAUAUUAAUUAAUAGUUUGACAUUCCUUAAAUAUUUUUUUCUUGAUUAAAGUUUUCCCUUAUCCCAUGUGUUUUUGUGUUUUCUUUUUCUUUUGUCUUCUAUUUUCAAUCAUAUAAUUUCUUCUCACUUUUCUUAUUCAUUAGUACUUUUCUCUGUUCCUUUUGUCAGAUUCCUAACUAGUUUUGCUGCUUGGUGUGGGGCACAAGUAGUUUUGAUUGAGUCAGCUAGUUUUUUUUCCUCUCUCUUUAUCGUGUGAAUGGUACAAAAAGUGUUUAGUUUCAACAGGGGAUGGAAACUAAGUUUUGUUUUACUUGAAAAGAACCCUCCUACUAUUUUCUUUUUGCUUUUGAUUAGUUUGGUCAUUGAUGACAGGGUCCAAGAUUAAAUAGCCAAUUUUAGUGAUAGAAAAUUGACGUUAAGGAGUAGUUAAAAACAUAAUAGUGAGUUAAAGUUUGGUAUUUAUUGUAAUUAAUUAAAUAAUUGCAAAUUAAAACAGGAAUAUUGGAAGCACGAAGAGCACCAACAACGAAGGACUUAAAUGUGCUAUUGAUCACAUUUUGGAUGCUCAGAAAAAGGGCGAGAUCAACGAAGACAACGUCCUUUACAUUGUCGAGAACAUCAACGUUGCUGGUAAGAUGCUCUCUCUUCUAUUCUAUUGUUACAAAAUACUACAACACAUAAAUAAAAUAAUUAUUAAUUGUAUAUUUUAACUUCAGCUAUUAUCCCUUUAAUUAAUUAUAUUUGCACUAUCGUCAACGAACGCCAACUAAUUUGUUGUUUUCGAAAGUUACCACAAAACAACAAUUUGACCCAUUCUUUUUCGCAAAACCAGUUUACUUAGUCUAUUUUAAUAAAAGAGUAUGAGAUUGGUACGGAAUGAAGAAAAGAAAAAGCCAUAAAAUAAUGUGUGUAUUUGAUUUUUGUUUCUAUAACCUACAGAGCAAUUGCAAUACUAAUAUUCUUCAUUUUUGAGAUACCAAACAUAACUGUAUUUAAUAAUAAUAACCCCACAGGAAAAUUUCCGUUUUGAUUUAUAGGUUUGAAAAAGGUACACGUAGAGAUUUAGGUAUUCAUUGAAUUUAUCCAAAGUGUGGAUUAGGUGGAAGCUUUAACUGCAGCCUAGCUACUCGUCCGCAAGCCAUGUUGGGCCACUCUUAUUUAUUCUGAAAUGUCACCUUACACGGAGACUUUUCAUUUCUCUCUCACUUUUUACAAUUUUUAAUUUGUUUUAUAUUUAUUUAAUUGGUCCUCAAUAUAAGUUGGGUGAAGUGGUAGUAGUAGUAGGUAAUGUCGGUGACAACUUGGGUAGGUGGACCUACAUUAGCCAAAAGUCUCAGGUUGUUUACUUGUUUUGCUUUUGGAUUAGAAGGUAAAAGAAUGAUUGAUCAAGGGGAAAAUGAAGAAGAAAAUCAUAGAAUGAUUAACAUGCAAUCAUGAAAAUUCAAACCUCCUUUAUAUAUUGUAAAAUUUAUUAUUGAACUAAUUAGUUGGUAAAAGUUGUGAGUAAAUUAUUCUAAUGUAUGAAAUGUGUUAAUGGAACAGCAAUUGAAACGACUCUGUGGUCAAUUGAAUGGGGUAUUGCUGAGCUUGUGAACCACCCAGAGAUCCAGCAGAAAGCGAGGGAGGAGAUGGACAGAGUUCUUGGAGCAGGGCACCAGGUGACUGAGCCAGAUAUCCAAAAGCUUCCGUACCUUCAAGCAGUGGUGAAGGAAACCCUUCGUCUUAGAAUGGCCAUCCCUCUCCUUGUCCCACACAUGAACCUCCACGAUGCUAAGCUUGGUGGCUUUGACAUCCCAGCUGAGAGCA